CAGAAACUAGAACUUGAUUUGGACGAAUUUGAAAGUGUUUAUGACUCCAAUUGCUUAAAAACACAAAAUAAAACAGAUUUGAAUGACUAAGACUCAACAAAAUAUGGGGGGAUUGUGUUUGGACGAAAUUAAAUUAAAUGGGCAGAUUGUAAGACAAAAUUGUGAUGAAUCAAUGGAUGAUGGAAUAGCUAAGGGGUUCUUCUCCACACAUGAAAUAUAUGCAACGUAAAUCGAUUUCCAGUUAUCAAUUUAAUAAGUUAUGAACCUCGAUACUCCAAGUUAAUUAGGUCCGCUUAAAUUAACCUUCAGAUUUCCCUAGAAUCAUUGAAUUGGAAUAUGCAUCGCAAACAAAUUAUUCCUAACAAGUUCUCUAUAUGAACAGCAUGAUAAAGACACAAGUUAGAAUCAUUACGUUCCGUGGAAAUCAUAAGCAUCGACAAGGCAUUUGUAACUAUGAAAAGCAUGAUACUCUUGCCAGGAA
rnacentral:lncRNA from 1 species